AGGGGCCUGAGUGAUAGACUCCCGAGCUUUCAUCUCGCCCAGCGAGUGUAAAUAGCUGUCAUGUUUGAUUGGCGGUCUGACGUGCGCACGAGAUUCCCUGGAACAGAGGAGCAAAAUUCAGCGAGGGCCCAAUGCAUGCUGGUUCAGCUGUCUUCAAGGCUAAGAGGACGUUCUCCGCUUCUUGACCAAUGACCACUGGACCCCACAACCCAGUAAAGACACACAGCAAUUAAGGUCCUCUGGAGGAAAGAGAGAAGAAGAGACUGCAACUGGCUAACCAUUAGCUGCUAACAAUGCUAACGUCAGAAUCUUCUUCAAAGCUUCCUGUUGCUGCUAAGCUAAAGAUUUUCCGGUCUGCGACUGCAUGCAAAAGCUGUUUGAAAAUGGAAAAUUAAUGGUUAUUGUAAUGAAUGUUGACUUAGCGGAUCAGAAAAGCAGGAGCGAGACCGUC